rnacentral:rRNA from 1 species
UUAAGCGACUAAGCGUACACGGUGGAUGCCCUGGCAGUCAGAGGCGAUGAAGGACGUGCUAAUCUGCGAUAAGCGUCGGUAAGGUGAUAUGAACCGUUAUAACCGGCGAUUUCCGAAUGGGGAAACCCAGUGUGUUUCGACACACUAUCAUUAACUGAAUCCAUAGGUUAAUGAGGCGAACCGGGGGAACUGAAACAUCUAAGUACCCCGAGGAAAAGAAAUCAACCGAGAUUCCCCCAGUAGCGGCGAGCGAACGGGGAGCAGCCCAGAGCCUGAAUCAGUGUGUGUGUUAGUGGAAGCGUCUGGAAAGGCGCGCGAUACAGGGUGACAGCCCCGUACACAAAAAUGCACAUGCUGUGAGCUCGAUGAGUAGGGCGGGACACGUGGUAUCCUGUCUGAAUAUGGGGGACCAUCCUCAAGGCUAAAUACUCCUGACUGACCGAUAGUGAACCAGUACCGUGAGGGAAAGGCGAAAAGAACCCCGGCGAGGGGAGUGAAAAAGAACCUGAAACCGUGUACGUACAAGCAGUGGGAGCACGCUUAGGCGUGUGACUGCGUACCUUUUGUAUAAUGGGUCAGCGACUUAUAUUCUGUAGCAAGGUUAACCGAAUAGGGGGAGCCGAAGGGAAACCGAGUCUUAACUGGGCGUUAAGUUGCAGGGUAUAGACCCGAAACCCGGUGAUCUAGCCAUGGGCAGGUUGAAGGUUGGGUAACACUAACUGGAGGACCGAACCGACUAAUGUUGAAAAAUUAGCGGAUGACUUGUGGCUGGGGGUGAAAGGCCAAUCAAACCGGGAGAUAGCUGGUUCUCCCCGAAAGCUAUUUAGGUAGCGCCUCGUGAAUUCAUCUCCGGGGGUAGAGCACUGUUUCGGCAAGGGGUCAUCCCGACUUACCAACCCGAUGCAAACUGCGAAUACCGGAGAAUGUUAUCACGGGAGACACACGGCGGGUGCUAACGUCCGUCGUGAAGAGGGAAACAACCCAGACCGCCAGCUAAGGUCCCAAAGUCAUGGUUAAGUGGGAAACGAUGUGGGAAGGCCCAGACAGCCAGGAUGUUGGCUUAGAAGCAGCCAUCAUUUAAAGAAAGCGUAAUAGCUCACUGGUCGAGUCGGCCUGCGCGGAAGAUGUAACGGGGCUAAACCAUGCACCGAAGCUGCGGCAGCGACACUAUGUGUUGUUGGGUAGGGGAGCGUUCUGUAAGCCUGUGAAGGUGUGCUGUGAGGCAUGCUGGAGGUAUCAGAAGUGCGAAUGCUGACAUAAGUAACGAUAAAGCGGGUGAAAAGCCCGCUCGCCGGAAGACCAAGGGUUCCUGUCCAACGUUAAUCGGGGCAGGGUGAGUCGACCCCUAAGGCGAGGCCGAAAGGCGUAGUCGAUGGGAAACAGGUUAAUAUUCCUGUACUUGGUGUUACUGCGAAGGGGGGACGGAGAAGGCUAUGUUGGCCGGGCGACGGUUGUCCCGGUUUAAGCGUGUAGGCUGGUUUUCCAGGCAAAUCCGGAAAAUCAAGGCUGAGGCGUGAUGACGAGGCACUACGGUGCUGAAGCAACAAAUGCCCUGCUUCCAGGAAAGCCUCUAAGCAUCAGGUAACAUCAAAUCGUACCCCAAACCGACACAGGUGGUCAGGUAGAGAAUACCAAGGCGCUUGAGAGAACUCGGGUGAAGGAACUAGGCAAAAUGGUGCCGUAACUUCGGGAGAAGGCACGCUGAUAUGUAGGUGAAGUCCCUCGCGGAUGGAGCUGAAAUCAGUCGAAGAUACCAGCUGGCUGCAACUGUUUAUUAAAAACACAGCACUGUGCAAACACGAAAGUGGACGUAUACGGUGUGACGCCUGCCCGGUGCCGGAAGGUUAAUUGAUGGGGUUAGCCGCAAGGCGAAGCUCUUGAUCGAAGCCCCGGUAAACGGCGGCCGUAACUAUAACGGUCCUAAGGUAGCGAAAUUCCUUGUCGGGUAAGUUCCGACCUGCACGAAUGGCGUAAUGAUGGCCAGGCUGUCUCCACCCGAGACUCAGUGAAAUUGAACUCGCUGUGAAGAUGCAGUGUACCCGCGGCAAGACGGAAAGACCCCGUGAACCUUUACUAUAGCUUGACACUGAACAUUGAGCCUUGAUGUGUAGGAUAGGUGGGAGGCUUUGAAGUGUGGACGCCAGUCUGCAUGGAGCCGACCUUGAAAUACCACCCUUUAAUGUUUGAUGUUCUAACGUUGACCCGUAAUCCGGGUUGCGGACAGUGUCUGGUGGGUAGUUUGACUGGGGCGGUCUCCUCCUAAAGAGUAACGGAGGAGCACGAAGGUUGGCUAAUCCUGGUCGGACAUCAGGAGGUUAGUGCAAUGGCAUAAGCCAGCUUGACUGCGAGCGUGACGGCGCGAGCAGGUGCGAAAGCAGGUCAUAGUGAUCCGGUGGUUCUGAAUGGAAGGGCCAUCGCUCAACGGAUAAAAGGUACUCCGGGGAUAACAGGCUGAUACCGCCCAAGAGUUCAUAUCGACGGCGGUGUUUGGCACCUCGAUGUCGGCUCAUCACAUCCUGGGGCUGAAGUAGGUCCCAAGGGUAUGGCUGUUCGCCAUUUAAAGUGGUACGCGAGCUGGGUUUAGAACGUCGUGAGACAGUUCGGUCCCUAUCUGCCGUGGGCGCUGGAGAACUGAGGGGGGCUGCUCCUAGUACGAGAGGACCGGGUGGACGCAUCACUGGUGUUCGGGUUGUCAUGCCAAUGGCACUGCCCGGUAGCUAAAUGCGGAAGAGAUAAGUGCUGAAAGCAUCUAAGCACGAAACUUGCCCCGAGAUGAGUUCUCCCUGACUCCUUGAGAGUCCUGAAGGAACGUUGAAGACGACGACGUUGAUAGGCCGGGUGUGUAAGCGCAGCGAUGCGUUGAGCUAACCGGUACUAAUGAACCGUGAGGCUUAACCU